rnacentral:rRNA from 1 species
CCUACGGGUGGCAGCAGUGGGGAAUAUUGGGCAAUGGGCGCAAGCCUGACCCAGCAACGCCGCGUGAAGGAAGAAGGCUUUCGGGUUGUAAACUUCUUUUAUGAGGGACGAUGGAAGUGACGGUACCUCAUGAAUAAGCCACGGCUAACUACGUGCCAGCAGCCGCGGUAAUACGUAGGUGGCGAGCGUUAUCCGGAUUUACUGGGUGUAAAGGGCGUGUAGGCGGGCUUGCACGUCAGAUGUGAAAACUAUGGGCUCAACCCAUAGCCUGCAUUUGAAACUGUGGGUCUUGAGUGAUGGAGAGGCAGGCGGAAUUCCGGGGGUAGGGGUGAAAUGCGUAGAUAUAAGGAGGAACACCAGUGGCGAAGGCGGCCUGCUGGAAAUUAACUGACGCUGAGGCGCGAAAGCGUGGGGAGCAAACAGGAUUAGAUACCCGGGUAGUC